GCUAUAUGAUGUCAAAAGCUGUCUGAGCUCCAAACCUACCCAAUGAGUGUAUUGGAGAGAAACAGCCCUAGUAGAGCACUGAUCAUGUCCUGAAGACAUUACAGUAGCCAUCCUGUGAACAUCAACCUAGUGGUUCAGCUUGGCUUAAUGUAGCAUAGCUGAACAACUUUGAGGAAAUUUUUGCAAGAUAUAAAAGUGAGAUAUGAUGCAAGAUAGGUGAAAACAGUGAUAAAUGUUGCCUUUGAAAUGGUGAUAGCUGUCAGCUCAAACGAUAACAGCCUAAAAGCACUGAGUAACAGAGUGAUAAUGGAGAUGGACCCUUCCUCUGACCUGUGACUGCUUGGUGAGGCCCAGCAGGUAGGCUAUGUAGCCUAUUUGGUUGUCAGUUCUAGACAUCUGUUGUAUUAUCCAAGAAGCUAUAGAUGAGUUUUAAGUUGUAUAUAUCUGGCUUGCAGAGACUCACAACUUGUGGGAAAGGUGAUGAAACAGCAGUAACUUUGUGAAGGAGGGUUGUGGUAUCUCAGACAUGUGAGGGACAAUGGAAGGUGUUGGAUACAGCUACAUGCAUCAUUCUGUAGCACCUGUGAUCUGCAAGGAGGAACACAUCAGGAAGAUGGCUUGCUCUUCAUGCUGUAAUCUAGUGAGUGAUGCUGCCACAGAGCAAGGAGGUGGCUGUACUCUGGCUGUGUGCAAAUAAUCCUGACAGGAGAAAGAAGGAGAUGCAGAUUCCAGUGCAGCAGAAAUAGAUCUAUGGCCACCCUCUGGCUGAAAGUGUGGGUGUUACUUCUCUCCUCUGCACAUCUUUUGGUUGAGAUAAAAUGAUGUACCAAAAAAAAAAAUCCCUAUCUCCUCAGCUAAAUAUUUAUGCAGUAAUCCCUAUGGCCUUGAAGGGGAGAAUACUGGAAAGCACAAGGCUCUCACCUCUGCUUGAAACCUUGGGCUAUCCCACAGUUAUCUGAACUUUGCAGAUGGGAUGGUGGCUUUCAUCCUCCUAGGGAAACGAUUUUCACCCAGGCUUGUGACUGUG
rnacentral:lncRNA from 1 species